AGAGCGAGCAAGCUUUAAAACUAUCAAUAGUCUUCAUUCGGUAGGCUUCAGCUAUUCAGUACGGUUGAACUUGGUUGCGUUCCUGGAACACAGCACAUCCUCAGCACGGAUUGUUUUCAUUUCAUUGAAACUGCUUUCAAGGAGAUCGCAACACCGCUGCUGGUCGUUGAGAUCGGCCAUUACUUCGUUCGUAAUCAGCGCAAGGAAAUCACUCUUUAGGAAUGGAUGGUAUAUCGGAACGGCUGGAAAGGGUCCGGGCCAUGAUCCUGGAGUCGAGGUCGAGCGUGGAGACAUCCGACGUAAAUCCUCAACAGGCGAGUGCACGUGCCGUUGUGGCAUAUGUGGAAAGUGAGCUGCUCCGGCUAUAUGUGCUUAAAACCCUGAUCCGGACACGCUACGGCGUACGUUGUCCCCCGGAGGUCUGGGAGGUUCUGCACGAAGAUCGGAAGGAAUUGCUGCCACCGCUCAUCGAGGUGCAGCAGCAGCGGCGAUUUUUGAAACAGUUUUUGAAAGAUCAUUAUCCUAGCUUUAAAAAAGACGAGGAAUAAUUAAGGGUGGCGUACAGCAAAUAAAGCACAUUUAGAAAACGUAA